UUUAUCGCUAUGUGUAUAAUAACAUCGCUAAUUUCUCUUAUGAAUAAGGAUCGAAUAGUGAUGAUGUGAAAUUCUUGAUAUUCAUAUAUGUGAUUAAUAUUAUUUUGAAUGGCUAAGGAAUUAGGAUUUAAAAUUGAAUAUUAAUAGUUUCUGGCUAAGGAAUUAGGGGAAACUACUCUUGAGAAUAAUAUUGAAUCAUUCUAACAUAGAUGUUAUAAAAU
rnacentral:lncRNA from 1 species